rnacentral:rRNA from 1 species
UCGGGAAUUUUGGGCAAUGGGCGAAAGCCUGACCCAGCAACGCCGCGUGAGGGAUGAAGUAUUUCGGUAUGUAAACCUCGAAAGAAUGGGAAGAAUAAAUGACGGUACCAUUUAUAAGCUCCGGCUAACUACGUGCCAGCAGCCGCGGUAAUACGUAGGGAGCAAGCGUUGUUCGGAUUUACUGGGCGUAAAGGGCGCGUAGGCGGCGCGGUAAGUCACUUGUGAAAUCUCUGAGCUUAACUCAGAACGGCCAAGUGAUACUGCUGUGAUCGAGUGCCGACGAGGAAACCGGAAUUCUUGGUGUAGCGGGUAAAUGCGUAGAUAUCAAGCGGAACACCUGAGGCGAAGCCGGGUUGCGGGGCCUACACUGACGCUGAUGCGCGAA